UCCUUUGUUGCCAGCGGCUCGGCCCGGAACUCAAAGGAGACUCCCGGUGAUAAACCGGAGGAAGGUGGGGAUGACGUCAAGUCAUCAUGGCCCUUACGGCCAGGGCUACACACGUGGUACAAUGGCGCAUACAAAGAGAAGCGACCUCGCGAGAGCAAGCGGACCUCAUAAAGUGCGUCGUAGUCCGGAUUGGAGUCUGCAACUGACUCCAUGAAGUCGGAAUCGCUAGU
rnacentral:rRNA from 1 species